rnacentral:rRNA from 1 species
GAUGAACGCUGGCGGCGUGCUUAACACAUGCAAGUCGAACGAAGCACCUCUCCCGAAGAUUGACACAGCUUGCUGUAGAUUGAUUCAUUUGAGGUGACUGAGUGGCGGACGGGUGAGUAACGCGUGGGUAACCUGCCUCAUGGAGGGGGACAACAGUUGGAAACGACUGCUAAUACCGCAUAGUAAGAAGAAUUCGCAUGUUUUCUUCUUGAAAGAUUUAUCGCUAUGAGAUGGACCCGCGUCUGAUUAGCUAGUUGGUAAGGUAACGGCUUACCAAGGCGACGAUCAGUAGCCGGCUUGAGAGAGUGAACGGCCACAUUGGGACUGAGACACGGCCCAAACUCCUACGGGAGGCAGCAGUGGGGAAUAUUGCACAAUGGGGGAAACCCUGAUGCAGCGACGCCGCGUGAGUGAAGAAGUAUUUCGGUAUGUAAAGCUCUAUCAGCAGGGAAGAUAAUGACGGUACCUGACUAAGAAGCCCCGGCUAACUACGUG